UACAGGGGGGGCAAGCGUUGUUCGGAAUUACUGGGCGUAAAGGGCUCGUAGGCGGAUCUUUAAGUCAGGGGUGAAAUCCCAAGGCUCAACCUUGGAACUGCCUUUGAUACUGGGGAUCUCGAGUCCGGAAGAGGUUGGUGGAACUGCGAGUGUAGAGGUGAAAUUCGUAGAUAUUCGCAAGAACACCAGUGGCGAAGGCGGCCAACUGGUCCGGUACUGACGCUGAGGUGCGAAAGCGUGGGGAGCAAACAGG
rnacentral:rRNA from 1 species